AGCAGCCGCGGUAAUUCCAGCUCCAAUAGCGUAUAUUAAAGUUGUUGCAGUUAAAAAGCUCGUAGUUGAAUUUCGGGAUCAAUACGUCGGUCGUGCCUCCGGUAUGUACUGGUGUUAUUGAUUUCUCCCUUCUGAUGAACCAUGAUGUCAUUAAUUUGAUGUUGUGGGGAGUCAGGACUGUUACUUAUGAAAAAUUAGAGUGUUUAAAGCAGGCUCACGCUUGAAUACAUUAGCAUGGAAUAAUGAAAUAGGACGUUCGAUCCUAUUUUGUUGGUUUCUAGGAUCAACGUAAUGAUUAAUAGGGAUAGUUGGGGGCAUUAGUAUUCAAUUGUCAGAGGUGAAAUUCUUGGAUUUAUUGAAGACUAACUACUGCGAAAGCAUUUGCCAAGGGUGUUUUCAUUAAUCAAGAACGAAAGUUAGGGGAUCGAAGACGAUCAGAUACCGUCGUAG
rnacentral:rRNA from 1 species